rnacentral:rRNA from 1 species
UACGGGGGGGGCAAGCGUUUGUUCGGAAUUACUGGGCGUAAAGGGCUCGCAGGCGGCCGACUAAGUCAGACGUGAAAUCCCUUGGCUUAACCAAGGAAUGGCGUCUGAUACUGGACGGCUUGAAUCCGGGAGAGGGAUGUGGAAUUCCAGGUGUAGCGGUGAAAUGCGUAGAUAUCUGGAGGAACACCGGUGGCGAAGGCGGCAUCCUGGACCGGUAUUGACGCUGAGGAGCGAAAGCCAGGGGAGCCAAACGGG